rnacentral:rRNA from 1 species
AUUGAACGCUGGCGGCAGGCCUAACACAUGCCAGUCGAGCGAGCGGCGGACGGGUGAGUAAUGUAUGGGGACUGCCCGAUGUAGGGGGAUAACUACUGGAAACGGUAGCUAAUACCGCAUACUAUCGGAUAACCCAUAUGGGAUUAGCUAGUAGGUGAGGUAAUGGCUAACCUAGGCGACGAUCCCUAGCUGGUCUGAGAGGAUGAUCAGCCACUAUGGGACUGAGAAACGGCCCAGACUCCUACGGAGGCAGCAUGGGGGAAUAUUGCACAAUGGGCGCAAGCCUGAUGCAGCCAUGCCGCGUGUAUGAAGAAGGCAAUAGGGUUGUAAAGUACUUUCAGUCGGGAGGCGUUACCGACAGAAGAAGCACCGGCUAACUCCGUGCCAGCAGCCGCGGUAAGAC